GACGAACCGUGCGAACGUUGUUCGGAAUCACUGGGCUUAAAGGGCGCGUAGGCGGCUUGCCAAGUCGGGGGUGAAAUCCGGCAGCUUAACUGUCGAAGUGCCUUCGAUACUGUCGGGCUAGAGUGCGGAAGAGGCGAGUGGAAUUCCUGGUGUAGCGGUGAAUGCGCAGAUAUCAGGAGGAACACCUAUUGCGAAGGCAGCUCGCUGGGACGUUACUGACGCUGAGACGCGAAAGCGUGGGGAGCAAACAGG
rnacentral:rRNA from 1 species